AUAGCAUGGUGAAGAUAUUUUCUAAUUAGUUCCUUUAAUCUCUCUCAAGUUUCAUGAAACAUCUCUCCAUCCAACUGAGAAAAACUAGUUAUAGCCUUUUUGAUUU